rnacentral:lncRNA from 1 species
GCCGCUAUUUCAAAGACCCUUCCUUUUUUCAGGUGGCAAGGCAGCUGCGACUCAUAGCUGCCAAACCAGAUCAGUUGAUUAAAUGUCCCCGUCGGAACCAGCCUGUCAUCGUGUUAAACCAUCCUGACGUCGACUCCCCCGAAGUGACCAAUGUGAUGAAGGUAAAGAAGGAAAAUAUGUUAAACCUGUUCUUUGAAUCGAAUUCCACCAAUCAUAAAUGGCCGUUUUAGAAUGUGAAGGAGCAAUUUCAUUAAAAACAGAUUAGCCUCAGUGGUGCCAUUCCAGGUGGACGUGAAAGCAGGCUGUGAAGGGUCUGCUGUGACUGACUUUUCACCUGGGGACCCAUGCAAAGCCCCAGGGGAUGCCAGCAUGCUCUUGAGCAUAGGACUGUAGGUCUGCUCCUCAGGCCAGAUCUGUUCUCCUUUUGCCUGUUCCUGAGCAGGCCCUCAUUGGGGCCUAGUCUCCGUGAACAUUUUUCCUCAUGAACACUAGCAGCUGCAGGAGCCAACAACAUGGAAAGAGGAUCCCAAUUGUCCGUGGAGGCCUUAAGAACACUACCCUUGUCUUUAGUGAUAGGAACAGGCUGCUCCUAGUUUAGCCACAGAUGCUCCUCUCUCUCUCUUGCUUACAUUUCCUGGGAGGACUUCCCCUCCACCAAGAGGGGAUGAGACCUACUAAUCUACAAGGCACCUUUGCACAUUAGGACAAAGUUUCUCUCUUACAUAGGUAGGGCUUCCUGGGCAAAAGCAGCUCGGGCAAAGGGCACUAACCAUGGCUAGCACAGGUGGCCCAGUCACCAGCCAGUGACCUUGAGAGUAUGCAUCCUUAGGGACUUCGUGAUGGAUGCUGUGAGUGGGGAGGGGUGGUUAGAUCUGAAAAUGGUGACUUCUAAUCCCUGGGUAAUCGGACUUCCUGACUUUGCCUUUUCAGGGGACAAGUCUUAGCUUAUCCUCUCACAGGUGGGCCACUCCUUUUAAGCUCGUUUUCAUUACACACACUUGGCUUUUCUUAGGUACAAUUCUAUGCCUGAUCAUUUUCUUAAUUGAUAAUUUUAAUUUAAAAUUGCAUUUUUAUAUAUGUGUCUAUAUGUGUACACAUAUAAAUAUUUUUUACCAUAUGCAAAUUGCAACAGCUAAUUUUCUGAUUUCCUAUUUUAUAAUGAUACAUGAGCUGGGGAAAUAUAAAGCUUUUAUAUUCUAGAAAUAAUUUAUUUUGAAAGAACAUUUUUACAAUGGUUUCAUCUCAUUUUUAGAAAAUGAAAGCACAGUAAAUGGUGGGACCUGAAUCCCAUGAGCAAACGAGACUAACAGCCCCUGUGGGUCACCGUACUGUGGCAUGUAGUCAUGCUUGGUGCUCGGCGGCCACGUGAUACAAAGCAUUCUGAGGUCUGAUCUGUGUCGCAGACUGGUGACCCUCCAGCUCAAACUCGAAUCUUCAUGUGCUGUGGCAGGAGGGGCUGUGGGAUCCGCUCCUUCUCUACCUCACUGCCGCACGGCCCCUCACCCCCCCCAAUGACCAAGAGCUGCCACAGAUCGGCGUCAACAGAAUCUCCACAUUCUGCUGCAACAGCUGCUGUUUUCAAGUCUUAGCUAAAAUAACUAGUGUUUGUAUGGAGCUGGAGUUAAUGAGCAGAAUAUGUAGCGAGCCUUUGGGGGAUUUUCCUAACUACAGUCCUUGUUGAGGAACUCAGAGGGCUCCUGGAAGCCCUAAGUAUGGGAGAGGCGAAAGUGACAGACUUCUCCAACAGAGUUUUAGACAUAAGUUUAUCAUGUAGGUAAGCGUGUGGAAGGACUUCAUUUCUCAUGGGUUGGAGGGAGAAGGACAGAAGUCUGUAGUCUUACCUUGACUUUGAAGGAUCUCUAGUCACUACAUUUUGUUGAUAGUACUUAUAAAAUUAUUUUAAACUUAUUUUUUAAGCUAGCUUUUCUUACUUUGGGGGACCAAAUAAAUGAAAGGAUCUUCUUAUAUUUAUGAUAUAGGCAAGUAGAGUAAAAGAAAAAAAUUUAAGCCUCCGUCUCGUAAGUGUCCUCUCAGUAGAUUAUAUUUUAUUCAAAAUUUUAUCUCCAGCCCAAAACAUUUUGUGAGCCCCCAUCAUAGGUCACACACUAAACACAAUGUAUUGACCCUCCAAAGUUCCAUCCCCCAUUCUUUAGAAUUUACAUAAGCCACCCGGAAGAUGAAGGUAUGGUGUUUUUCAGCCUUCAGAAUGACUUUUGAAUCUGUGAAUGUCUUUAUGAGCAGAAAACAAAACUUUGUCUUAACAUGUCAAGCAUUACAGUUUCCGUGUGAACAGUUUGUGUGUCUGCGGCUCUGGUUCUGAAACAUGUUUGUAUAUAGAUAGAAAAGUUGGCAUCAGUUUUGUUUAAAUAAAGCAACUUUUAAGAUCUU